rnacentral:rRNA from 1 species
AUGGCGAGGACUAGUAGCCGGCGACGGGCUGCCAAAUUGAUGGCCAAGCCAUCCGGUUCGACCAUGGUGAAAGGCAAUCCAGAUGAUAGGAUCAGCAGCUUGCCCAAUGACAUCCUGGUCAACAUUCUCGACCGGCUCGAUGUUCGCGCCGCUACGAGAACCAGUGUCCUCUCGAGACGGUGGAGUCAGCUUCCUGCCAUGGUCCCACGGCUUACAAUCAGUGCUCGGGACCUCCUGCCGUCAGAAACUAAAACCAGCAUUUCCAAAGCUGAAAUUGUUCGGAGGACCACUGCAGCUGUGGCCAAAGAUCCGGCCAAUGUAGCAGUGUCCGAUGCUGAAUUUGUUCGGAGGACCAGUGCAGCUGUUGCCAAAGCCUUGGCUGAUGCAGCAGCUGUAGCCAAAGCCUUGGCCAAUGCAGCAGCUGUAGCCAAAGCUAUGGCCAAUACAGCUGUAGCCAAAGUGAUAAAGAGCAUACUGGCACGCAGGGAUCCGGGUGGAUGGCCCAUUCGCCUCAGCAUGACGUUUUACUUGAGAGGCAGUGUCCCCAUAUCUGUUGGGCAUACUGUUGGCAAUGCCAUGGCGACACUCAAGGUUGAGAAAGCCGAAUUCACAGUUUUGACAGAGAAGAAGGGACGCAAGUGCAGUAUUGAUGAUGUGGUGAACUAUGGGACACGGUUUGUGUCAUUUUUUAAUGAAUGCCACAAUGCAUUUGCUGGUCUCACGUGCCUAUACCUGGAGAAUUUGAGAUUCCGUGAAUCCAACUUUGUCUCUAACAUACUUGUCUCUUGCAAGCAAUUAAAUUAUUUAGGUUUUUUCAAUUGUGACACAGAGGAUUGGAUAACACUCCAAGUUGAACACGCACAGCUCAUUGAGCUCAGUAUUGUUGAUUGCCGUUUUGACAUGGUCAAACUCACCUGGGUUCCGAAACUCACCUGCCUGGUGUUUUUUUCUUGGUUAACUUCCAGAGAACCUCCACUGGCACUGGGCUAUGUCCCAUUGCUCGAGGUUCUGAGACUUUCAAAUGCUGCUCGUAGUUUGGACAAAAUGCUCAAGUUAAGUACUUUUCUUCAUGAAACCUCUGUUCGAGACCUGACGUUGGGGUUUCAAUGCGAAAAGAUUUGGGUUCAACCAGAGUGUUUGACCAGAAGGCAGGCAUAUGUGUUCCAGCAACUAAGGAUUCUCAAUCUAGUUAAAAUUCCUGAAGGGUAUGAUCUCAUCUGGACAAUGUUCUUCUUGGAAGCGGCGCCGUCCCUGGAGGAGCUCUACAUGACGGUAUGGGACCAUCCGUGUGAAAUGGAAAUGAAUCGGGAGAUUAGGAGGGAGCAGUUGUAUAGUGAGAACAAGGGCGUUGAAUGGGAAUCGCCUACAUCGAAUUUCAAGCACCACUGUCUGGCCAAGUUCAUCCUCGUCGGCUUUGAAGCUAAAGACUACAUGGUGAGUCAUGUCAGGUGUGUCCUGAAAGCAGCGGUGAAUCUACAGGAUGUCUACCUGUAUGAUAGACUGGUAUGUGCCAAGUGCCAAGAGAAAGUAAAGAAUGCGCGCAGGUAUGAUUCACUGGUACGUGGCAUGUGCCCAGGCGUGAAUCAGCCUAUAAAGUUCCCAUAUACAAACGAGGACCAGCGUGCAGUGCAGAAGCGAAUGCCCCGGGGCAUUGGGUCACUUGCCAAAAUCCACUUCCUGUCAUCUAAUGAAAUAAAGGCAGAACAUCGUCCAAGGAUAGCUGUAGAUUCUUUGGGUGCCGUUGAAGAUUAG